rnacentral:rRNA from 1 species
AGCGAACGCUGGCGGCAGGCUUAACACAUGCAAGUCGAGCGCCCCGCCAGGGGAGCGGCAGACGGGAGAGUAACACGUGGGAACAUACCUUUUGGUUCGGAACAACUGAGGGAAACUUCAGCUAAUACCGGAUAAGCCCUUACGGGGAAAGAUUUAUCGCCGAAAGAUUGGCCCGCGUCUGAUUAGCUCGUUGGUGAGGUAACGGCUCACCAAGGCGACGAUCAGUAGCUGGUCUGAGAGGAUGAUCAGCCUCACUGGGACUGAGACACGGCCCAGACUCCUACGGGAGGCAGCAGUGGGGAAUAUUGGACAAUGGGGGCAACCCUGAUCCAGCCAUGCCGCGUGAGUGAUGAAGGCCUUAGGGUUGUAAAGCUCUUUUGCCCGGGAAGAUAAUGACGGUACCGGGAGAAUAAGCCCCGGCUAACUUCGUG